rnacentral:ncRNA from 1 species
UCGUACGCGGGAGGCUGAGACACGCGGUCCGAAUUCGUGCCGCCGGGACCGCGCCGAGCCACUGGCGAGACCGACCCACGCUGGC